AUAACUUAGGUUUUGUAACCUGAAAGUUAAGAAGGAAGUUUUCAAUGAGGCACAUUGAACCUUUGUAUUUUACAUUAAAAAAAAAAAAAACCAAACCUCAUGUAAAUCUAAUACCAUUAUAACCAUCUUCCUUAAACACUGUAAUUAUAGCCUCAAAGGGUAAGUACACAAAUGGUAAAUUAAAUAUGGCCAUUUAAAUUAUUUUAUGCAAAGCCAAGAUUUUUUUUUUACUUAUUAAAGGAAUUUAAUACUACUUUUAGGUGUCCUUGUUAAAUGCAGAUUGACAAUGAAGUUAAAGAAUAAAACCUCAUUUAUUUUUAUGCUACUUUAUAAAUUUUCUGAAGUCCAAGUUCUCUCACAAUAUUGUACAGUAACUGGAUUAAAACAACCCUUAAGUACUUUCCACCACAUCUUUUACAUGAAACAACUUCCUAAACCCACAAUGUCUACAUAAUCAUUUUACAGUGAUUAUCACGAAAAUAUUAUGGAGAUAAAUAAAAGCGGACUGAUACGGAUUCUCCUCCCCAAACAAUGAAAUCCUAGCACCAUACAAAAUAUCAUGAUUUAAAACAAUGCUGGCUCUCCUUCUCUUUCUUUCAUUUUAAUAGCCAAACAGAUUAAUUUUCCAAAGCAUAACUGUUAAUAUGCAGACUGGUUUCCACAGUAGUUUUCAAUAUUUUUUUCUUACAUUUUGCUUCAAGAAGAAAAAUAUGAAGUAAAAAAAAAAAAAA